AUGGCUCAGAUUGAACGCUGGCGGCAUGCUUUACACAUGCAAGUCGAACGGCUUAGGGCUUGCUCCUAAGUUAGUGGCGAACGGGUGAGUAAUACAUCGGAACGUACCGUGUAGUGGGGAUAACGUAGCGAAAGUUACGCUAAUACCGCAUACGAUCUACGGAUGAAAGUGGGGGACCUUCGGGCCUCACGCUAUACGAGCGGCCGAUGUCUGAUUAGCUAGUUGGUGAGGUAAAGGCUCACCAAGGCAACGAUCAGUAGCGGGUCUGAGAGGAUGAUCCGCCACACUGGGACUGAGACACGGCCCAGACUCCUACGGGAGGCAGCAGUGGGAAUUUUGGACAAUGGGCGAAAGCCUGAUCCAGCCAUGCCGCGUGUCUGAAGAAGGCCUUCGGGUUGUAAAGGACUUUUGUCAGGGAGCAAAACUUAGAGGUUAAUAACCUUUGAGGUUGAGAGUACCUGAAGAAUAAGCACCGGCUAACUACGUG
rnacentral:rRNA from 1 species